rnacentral:lncRNA from 1 species
GGGGACCUGGAAGGAUUGCCGUUGCUGGCUUGGGUGGCUAGGGCUUAUAUCCCUGUGUUAACCCCUCUCCUUUCUUUCUUUUUGUCCAUUGAGAGUGGUUCUUUUUUCAGUCCUCCCUUGGAGUGGUUAAUUUUGAAUCCUUCACUCCAUUGGUUAAGAACUCAAAACCCUGAGUCACAGGGGUCUUUUGUGAAAGUCCCCGAACCAGCCCAGGAAGUCCCACCAACUCCACCCCUCAAUGCCAAUCUACUGAGCAAGAGAUGAAUACAUAAUUGACUAGUCCCCUACCUGCUUCUUUUGCCUUGUAACAUGUGGAUUACCAUACCCUCCUUUUUUUUUAAACUCCAGCCAAAUUUUUCUGGUUAAAUAUCAAAGCCUUCCAAAAUCAUCUUUGGAGAAAGACACAGACCAUUUUUGUGAUUCCAUGUUUUUUUUUUUUUCUUCUGGGCAUGUCCUUAAACCUGGCAAAAUAAAUCUUUAAACUGGAUUGAGACCUGUCUCUGUUACCUUUUGGUUUACAAUGGAGCUAAUAUUGAGCCACAUAUAUUACGUAUAUGUGGCUUUCCAAAGGAGUUGCUGGAAACCGAAGCUGAGGUAACAGCAGGGGCUCAUUGAAGCCCCACCAAGUUCGAGCUUCUCCUCAGGUGGAACUGAAUAAAUAAUUCGACCAAGAAGACAUAAGGCAGAAGGAG